UACCGAGGUGGCAAGCGUUGUUCGGAAUUACUGGGCGUAAAGGGCGCGUAGGCGGCCAUCUAAGUCAGACGUGAAAUCCCCCGGCUUAACCUGGGAACUGCGUCUGAUACUGGACGGCUUGAGUAUGGGAGAGGGAUGUAGAAUUCCAGGUGUAGCGGUGAAAUGCGUAGAUAUCUGGAGGAAUACCGGUGGCGAAGGCGGCAUCCUGGACCAUUACUGACGCUGAGGCGCGAAAGCGUGGGGAGCAAACAGG
rnacentral:rRNA from 1 species